rnacentral:ncRNA from 2 species
ACUAUAUGUAGUGUUCAAGGUUCCGCCACCCGCAAGGAAUGGCGGCUAAGACGGGAAUCCGGUGCGGCCCGAUGCCAGAAGGCGCGGCCAAUUCCGGGGCUGUCCCCGCAACUGUGAGCGGCGAGUUCUGUCGAGAAUGCCACUGGGCCCGGGGGCCCGGGAAGGCCGGCACGAAUGGCGACCCGCAAGCCAGGAGACCUGCCUCGAACGCUUUUUGACG